rnacentral:rRNA from 1 species
UGGGGAAUAUUGGACAAUGGGGGAAACCCUGAUCCAGCGACGCCGCGUGGGUGAUGAAGGCUUUCGAGUCGUAAAGCCCUGUCAGGAGGAAAGAACGCUCCUAUAGCGAAUACCUAUAGGAAGUGACGGUACCUCCAAAGGAAGCACCGGCCAACUCCGUGCCAGCAGCCGCGGUAAGACGGAGGGUGCGAGCGUUGCUCGGAAUCACUGGGCGUAAAGGGUGCGUAGGCGGUCUUUCAAGUCUGACGUGAAAGCCCAGGGCUCACCCCUGGAAGUGCGCCAGAAACUGAUGGACUUGAGUACCGGAGGGGAGAGUGGAAUUCCCGGUGUAGCGGUGAAAUGCGUAGAUAUCGGGAGGAAUACCGGUGGCGAAAGCGACUCUCUGGACGGUUACUGACGCUGAGGCACGAAAGCGUGGGGAGCAAACAGG